rnacentral:lncRNA from 1 species
AUGCAAAAAAUUCUGAGGGAAUAUCUAAUACAAGAAGCAAAUAUUUCUGGAGGAUUGCCAAAAGAGAAGAUAGACUCAGCUGCAAUAACUGAAGGAAAGGAGGAGGAUGAAGCCACAGAGGUAGGAUUGAGAAAGUUUUGUAUUAUUUCAUCUUUUUUAUUUGCAGUUACUGGAGUUGUACUUAAUCUGCAGGUAGUGAAGGUGGUCAAAUGUGUUCAGCGACUAGCAGAAAUAAGGCCUGCAACAAAAAGGUAGAAUACUGGGAGUCAGAAGGGGGAGGGGAAAAUGCCUGUAAUAUUUUCCCCAAAGAUUAAUGAAAAAUUACUUUGCUGAGUUUUGACAAAAACAUGGAAUGUUAUUUGGUUUCUUUAAACUUCUAGAUAAGUAAAUAGAUAGAGAUGCCAAGGAUAGCCAAAGGAUCUAAAAUCCAAAAGGCAAGCUUUUAAAUCUGAAUGCAAACCAUAACAGCAACUUUUGAAACAGAGAAAACUCAGCAAUGCAGAUUAAACUGACAACCUCUCACCUUGCCACUCUCUUUGUGCAGGACCCUUGAGGUCUCUCUCAGUCCAACAAAUUUCAGUGCAUUCCCUGUUCACAGCAUGUUCCACUUUAAGUCCUUCUGGGACUUGGUGCUCACUUCUUUCCAUCACCUCUAAAGCUUAACUCUGCAUCUGUUCCCUACCAACACCAACACACUUGUGUUGCAGGUUUCUUGUUUUCUGCCUGUUUUCCCACCUUGUACUCCAGAAUCUGCUUUUCCUUAUUGAUUUUUGCACUUUCGGUUGCUUUACAAGAAGUAACAACUCCUGUUCUUGCCCGAGGGUCUCACCUUGGCCUGGGUCAGGGAGAUGUAAGCACAAAGCCUCCUCCCAUCCUCCCCACUGCAACCUUCUUAGCAGAACAGAACAUACAAAAAAAAACAAAAAACAAAACAAAAAAAAAAAACAGAUGCCAUCCAUCUUAGAAACAUUUCAUUUCUGAGUACAUGCUUCCUCCUGCCCUCACAUUUUAGACCACUAUGAAACAAGUACUUGGAACGUUUUAUUUUAAAGGGAAAAAAAAAAAAAAGGCCAAAUUAACAACAACAAAAAAUCCACUACUUUUUGGUCAAAAAGCUACUGUUUAUUAAAUGGUUUAUAUGGUGAUAGUUCUGAACCUGAUUUGAACUGUAAAAGUACCGAAGAAUCACCACAUACUGAUUGCUAAAGAAGCCAAUGAGUUUGCCCAUUGCAAUUCCAGGCAAGCAAAGAAUAUAGGUGUUAAUCAAAUUGGCAGUUGGUUUAGAAAACAGAGAAGACAACUAGAUUUUCAGUUAUGGCAGAAGAAAAGCUGAGGACCCAGUAAUGGGAACAAAUAUUUACUAAAGUAGGUGAAAAGGUAACUCACCUCCUAAAGCUUGUCAGCGUUAGUGAGAACUGCAGACAGGCUGCAGAAACAGUAAGUAUGUACUAACUUUGUGUGCCAUUUUAUUUUGAUCCAUCACAGACAGAAUUUAUUUUUCAAAUGGUGUGUGUCCAGCCAGUUUCACUACCUCUUCUCUUUUUAAAAUCAAAGCACUCUAAGUAAUAUAACUUACUCUAGGGGGAAGAAAAAAAGAAAGGUAAAAAGAAAGAAAAAAAUGGAAGAAAAUAGGAGCAUAAUAUCUUGAUGAUUUCUUAAGAGAUCUCUUCUCACAAUUAUAGGAAUCUUACAAAGGAAAUUGAUGUAUCUUCCUUUCUUCUUUGCGUGUUCUUGGUACCACAAGCUGUGCACAGCAUGCUUUCAAUUAAUUUAAACUAACUUUCCAUCUGCUCCAACAAAUGUAGGAUUUGAGUGAAAGACAGUAUGAUGGAGUGACGUGAAAUACGCUAAUAGCAAACGCUAAUGUGAGAGCCAGUCUUCUGUGGAAAAUGUAACACACAGUGCACUCUUUUUAGUCCAUAUUAAAGACUCACUUUAGUGAAAAAUGUUUAUUGUUUUCAAUAUUUGCCUAAUCAAGAUGGGGAACUAAAGCUUUAGUGAAGGAGACGGAGUUUUACAUUUUACAGAGCAUAGUAAUUUGAAGAACAGGAUGUAUCAGAUCGAUUCCUUUUUAAUUGCUACUUUCAUCAAGCUUUGUUAUGGAAUUAUUUCAAAGUGUUUCUACAUUUAAAACAAAAGAACACAAAAAUGCUGAAUAUGAUUAGAGGUUGGAAUGCUUUGUCUUUGUUAUCUGUUCAAUCAGAAUAGUAUGUAUUUUGUGAAUAUUUUGUUUUUCCCUGACAAAUUAAAGUUCCAACAUUUAAAAGAUGUUUAAAUUAGAAAAGCCAAGCAAAAUAUACACAAUGUCUACAUUCAAGUAAUGACACGGACUAAAUUAUAGUAACUAUGUACGAUAGAAACCUUUUACUAUUGAAUGUAUGCACUUUACAGACAUUACUGUAGUCCUUUUUUUUUUUUUUUUUUUUUUUUACAAUUUCUUUUUUCCUUUUAGUAUAAGUUAGGAACCUAACUAGUUCUGGCACUCACCUUUCAAGCAAUAACCAUUUAAAGCCAUGUGAUAAUUAAAUUCUACCUGCAGCACGAUUUUGUUCCCUAUUGAACCCUUGAGAAUAGGGCUAUGGCCUUUUUACCAAUUUAAAUUAGCAUGUGAAUUUGCAAAGGAGAAUUUAUUUUGGAUCCUGGUUCCUCCUCCCAGUAUUUCUCACAUUAAGUACUGUACUUUUUAACCCUGGUUUGUCCACUUUGAUCAAAUAGCCACAAGAUUAUAGACUUGGUGAGAUGCACAGUGAAGCGUGGUGGCAGCAUUAGUAUGAACAACAGCAAGUAGGAGAUAAUGAGCUUAUUCUUGGUAGUUAUUACCUCAAAACCAAUACCACUUGCACUUAAAAGUAGAGUUCCAUAGAGGAUAAUUCUAUGUAAUUUUGUGCAGAUCCCCAGGAAACAAUGUCAUAUUUUCAUGACAAUUAUGUGCCCAAGUUCAAACUUGCAGUAAAGGUACCUCUCAGCUGCUGCAGUCUGCAGCUGCCACCUCUUGCCAGGUCAGUGCUUGAGGAAUUUUAACAGUUUUCUUUAGAGCUGCCCUCAUUCUUGGCAAGGCUGUGCCAGAGCUGACUUGUGGGUGUCCUCAGAGCCUACCUACAGAUCAAGCAAUGUAAAAGAUACACAGUAGAUGAAGGAAAGGGUCCCUCGAAGUGAGAAGUUAAACACAGAAUUUCUUUCCUUGGGAGAAUAUAAGCACCUUACAUCUAAUCUCUAGCAGCAGUGUGCCCUCCACACCAGUUUAUGGCAAUUUGGGGAGACACAACCUGUCAGAGCUGUUCUAUUCUGCAGAAAAGAGUUAAAGAUUUCUCAGGGUGAGAUGGUAUAUGAGCAGGAACUGUUUAAUUUCCUUUAGAUCCCUUUUGGUUUGCCACAAGCAGACCCAAAUAAAGAGAAGUGUGUUUGUCA